AUGACCACUUUGAGUAAUAUAUUCAGGUGGAGGGACUCCUCCCCCGUUUAUGGCUCCAUCAAGCCUGGAACGGAUUGUCCAACAUCAUGUGGGAACAUCACCAUCCCGUUCCCCUUUGGCACAAAGCUAGGCUGCUUUGCAGCUGUCCAUCUCUACUUAGCAUGUAUGCCAGGGACCCUUCUUCCUGUCCUUGAAUUGACUAGUGGAAUGGUCGUAAGUGACAUAUCUCUUGAUGAUGGUGUCUUGCACAUUCGUGAGGAAUCUGAGCCAGACGGUUUCUUCUCUGGUUCGGGCUCAAACUCUGCGCUCUACUCCUUGUCCGGGAAAUGGGGAGUGGUGAAAUGGGCUGUUGACAAAAUGACAUGCGAACAUGCAAAGAUAAACAGGAGCGACUACAGAUGCUUGAGCUCCCAUAGCGAGUGCAUCGAUGUCACCGAUGAUGGAACACUCAGACAUCUGGGUUACCGGUGCAAGUGCUCUUCUGGUUUUGAAGGAAAUCCUUACAUCAAGGAUGGAUGCACAGAUACUAACGAGUGCCUACAGCCAGAUAAAUACAUCUGCAAUGGUAUAUGCCACAAUAAAUUCGGGAGCUAUACAUGCACCAGUACUGUAAUAUUGGGUGUCAGCAUUGGACUAGGCAGUGGUGGGGCAAUCCUCUUUCUUGCUGCGAUUGUUGCCGUUGUGACGCGGAGAUGGAAGAGAAACGUCGAGAAACGUGUGAGAAAGAGGCAUUUCCAUAAGAAUAGAGGCAUUCUGCUACAACAGCUCAUCUCUUCAGACAAAAGUGCCAACGACGGCACCAAUAUAUUCUCCCUGGAUGAGAUGCAGAAGGCAACCAACAAUUUCGAGCACACUCGUGUAGUCGGGCGCGGGGGGCAUGGCACCGUCUAGGCGUCUACCCUUACUGACCAGCGCGUUGUGGCCAUCAAGAAGUCAACGCGUGUGGUGAUGAGCGAGAUUGACCAGUUCAUCAAUGAGGUGGCCAUCCUUUCACAGAUCAACCACCGCAACGUGGUGAAGCUCCAUGGAUGCUGCCUCGAGUCAGAGGUCCCCCUGCUUGUCUACGAGUUUGUCUCCAAUGGCACGCUCUACGACCUCCUGCACCGCUCCUCUGGGUCGAAGCAGGACGGUGGCCUGUCGCCCUUGUCCUGGGAGGAGCGCUUGAGGGUCGCCAUCGAUCGCGGGCGCGCUCGCGUAUCUGCACUCCGCAGCUUCCGUGUCCAUCCUACACAGGGACAUCAAAUGCAUGAACGUGCUCCUGACGGACAGCUGCACCGCCAAGGUAUCAGAUUUCGGUGCAUCGAGGUUGAUCCCGCCGGAUCAUACGCACCUGGUGACCGUUGUCCAGGGCACGUUCGGGUACCUGGAUCCAGAGUACUACCACACCGGUAUGCUCAACGAGAAAAGCGACGUUUACAGCUUCGGGGUGAUCCUUGUUGAGCUCCUGACGAGAAGGAAACCCAUCAUCGAGAACGAGCACGGCGAGAAGCAGAACCUAUCUAGCUACUUCCUGUGGGCUAUGAGGGAGAGGAGACCCCUCCAAGAGACCCUGGACACACACAUCUUGUUCGAGGAAGGAAUCAGCGAGGAAAAGGUCCUGUGCGUGGCUCGGUUGGCGGAAGAGUGCCUCAGUCUCACGCGAGGGAACAGGCCUACCAUGAAAGAUGUGGAGAUGAGGCUGGAGCUCUUAACUGGGCGCCGUGUUGCACGACUUGCUGGCCAGGAACAGGUGGCGCCACGGCCGCGCUGUGGUGGCGUUGUUCCGGUGAUUGGUGACCACAGCUCACGACAGUUCAGCCAAGAGCAGGAGUUUGUGUCCUCUCUGCAAGUACCGCGCUAG
rnacentral:rRNA from 1 species